rnacentral:miRNA from 1 species
UGAUGAUGAUGAUGAUGAUAAUGAUGAUGAUAAUGAUGGCAACAGCUUGUGAGAUUAGUCAAGUGUAUUUAUCCUCAUGAUCAUCAUCACCAUCAUUAUGAUGU